rnacentral:lncRNA from 14 species
CCGAGCUCCACCAAGAGGCAGCAUUGCACAGCGCUGGAGGAGCUGGGGGCCAGCCAGGGGAGUGCCGGGCUGACCUUGUGAUUGCUUCCUCAGUACCUUCACCUGUGAGGUGUUUGCGAUGCUGAUCACCCCCCCACCCUGCAGAGCAGUUUUAAAAGUCCGGUGAAAAGUGCUGCGCAAGGUGCCAGUAUGGGGAUCUCUUUCUUUCCAUCUGGUCAGUAUGUGGAGAAGCAAAGGAAUACGAAAGUACUCUGCAGCCUAAGGAUUGAUGGAACUGGACUGUCAGCCAUCAGAUCCUCUGCUCUGAAGAGAAUAUCAUUGAGGAGCAGUCUGAGAUAAGCACAGAGACCAGAAGAGUAUAAAGAGCUCCUGAUAGCUGUCAGAACAAAGCGAUAGCACUUGGCCUAGAAGACAAGUUGCCUUCCAGCCCCAAUCCCUCACCAUGGCUGAUGCAGCAGUGACCUCCACAGAUGGCAGCCAGCAGCAGAACCACAGUGGGACCUGCAGCGAUACGAGGGCUGGCACUUUGGAUUGCAACAUGACUGAAAGGAAAAGCGUGAAGGCUACAGGAAUUUCUGCUCUAUGGAAAAAUGUUAUUUUUGGAGUCUUCGGGAAGGCGUGCAUAUAAACCCCCGGUUCCCUGGUGAGUGACUGGUCCCUGAGACCAGCAGAACUUUCAUCUUAAUUUUUGGUUGUGGUAGGUGACAUCAUAUUUGGCCAUCCAUUUACUUGAAGCUGCAACUGG